CCUACGGGUGGCUGCAGUGGGGAAUAUUGCUCCAUGGGCGCAACCCUGAUGCAGCGAAGUCGCGUGAGGGAAGACGUACUUCGUUAUGUUAAGCUCCAUUAGCAGGGAAGAAAAUGCCGGUACCUGUGUCAGAAGGCACGGUUCCCUACGUGACAGCAGCCGCGGUUAUACGUAGGGGGCCAGCGUUAUCCGGGUUUACUGGGUGUAAAGGGAGCGUAGACGGCAGUGCAAGUCUGGAGUGAAAGGGGGGGGUUCAACCCUCGGACUGCGCUGGAAACUGUACGGCUGGAGUGCAGGAGAGGUAAGUGGAAUUCCUGGUGUAGCGGUGAAAUGCGUAGAUAUUAGGAAGAACACCAGUGGCGAAGGCAGCUUACUGGACUGUAACUGACGUUGAGGCUCGAAAGCGUGGGGAUCAAACAGGAUUAGAUACCCUAGUAGUC
rnacentral:rRNA from 1 species